CAAUAGAGCUCUCUAUCAGAGGGUUUAUGGAAACUUGGAAUAUAUGAUACAUAGAGACUUAUUUGUGAAAAGAUGAUCUUCUUAGUCUUUUUCUGCUACCUGUCAGGUGUUGGUCUGGCAGUGGUGGUUCGUCAGACUCCCCCCAAUAUCAUCACAAACCCUGGAGACAGAGUGCAGAUUGACUGCAGCCGAGAUGACAGUAGCUACUGGAUGAUGCUCUGGUACCAGCGCUCACUUACAGACACAGCCAUGAAACUCAUUGGAUAUUUAUACAACAAAGAUGUAACAAAGGAAGAUCCAGAAGACAAAAAGUUUAGUAUCACUGGAGAUCUGUCAGGAGAUGGAGAAAAGACCAGUACUCUAGUCAUCCAAGUCACAGGACCUGAGCAGGAUGCACUGUACUACUGUGCAGCUAGCAAAGCACGCUGA